GCAUUGUCAUUUUGACACAAUUAAAUUUAUGAAAUUACAUUAAGAUGUUUGAAAGUCUCCAGGUUUUCACAUAAUGCAGAUUUAAAUGUAAUUUAAAAAAAAUAACGAAUAAUUAUCGCUUUUCAAAUAUUGCACCUGGCAAUAGAGAAGGAAAUAUUCUGUAGCCUAUUUUGCCGCCAAUACUGCUAAUGUUGUCUUUGUAG